GCAUGAUCGCCACCUCGCGCCGCACGUCCUCGAUGUCCACCGCCGUCUUGAGCUUGGACUUGGAGAUGGACUUGCACGCCAGCAGCUCCUGCGACUCCUGCUCCAUGCACAGCAACAACGAGACAAACGUCAGUCCAUCCAUCCCCGCGGCUUCAUUGCGCUGGUGAAUCCAAAUCCACAACAUCCACCAAGAACAAUCCAGCAAAAACAAUCACCAAACCGAAAAGAGGGCAGCCAGGCAUUCAAAGAGGGCCGACGAGGAGGGAGGAAUUCACGGACUCUUGUCAAAAACCCGGGCACCAAAUUCCUCCAAGCACCAAUUCCAGCGAUCUCUCGCAAGCUAGUCUCCUCCACUCCAUCCCAUCCGAAGAGCAAACAGGGAAAAAAAAGAGGCUUUUCUUCUCACUCA